rnacentral:rRNA from 1 species
UGCAGUCGAGCGAGCUUUACCGGCUUGCUUUUUAAGUUAGCGGCGGACGGGUGAGUAACACGUGGGCAACCUGCCUGUAAGACUGGGAUAACUUCGGGAAACCGGAGCUAAUACCGGAUAAUCCUUUUCUACUCAUGUAGAAAAGCUGAAAGACGGUUUACGCUGUCACUUACAGAUGGGCCCGCGGCGCAUUAGCUAGUUGGUGAGGUAACGGCUCACCAAGGCGACGAUGCGUAGCCGACCUGAGAGGGUGAUCGGCCACACUGGGACUGAGACACGGCCCAGACUCCUACGGGAGGCAGCAGUAGGGAAUCUUCCGCAAUGGACGAAAGUCUGACGGAGCAACGCCGCGUGAGUGAUGAAGGUUUUCGGAUCGUAAAACUCUGUUGUUAGGGAAGAACAAGUACGAGAGUAACUGCUCGUACCUUGACGGUACCUAACCAGAAAGCCACGGCUAACUACGUGCCAGCAGCCGCGGUAAUACGUAGGUGGCAAGCGUUGUCCGGAAUUAUUGGGCGUAAAGCGCGCGCAGGCGGUCCUUUAAGUCUGAUGUGAAAGCCCACGGCUCAACCGUGGAGGGUCAUUGGAAACUGGGGGACUUGAGUGCAGAAGAGAAGAGUGGAAUUCCACGUGUAGCGGUGAAAUGCGUAGAGAUGUGGAGGAACACCAGUGGGCGAAGGCGACUCUUUUGGUCUGUAACUGACGCUGAGGCUCGAAAGCGUGGGGGAGCAAACAGGAUUAGAUUCCCUUGGUAGUCCACGCCGUAAACGAUGAGUGCUAAGGUGUUAGAGGGUUUCCGCCCUUUUAGUGCUGCAG